ensembl:ncRNA D1054.21 ncRNA
CAAGUGCAAAGAUAAGCAUGAAAAUCGAAAUGUCAAAGCACUUGAGAUCCGCGCUGCUCCAGAGCGGCGGCCGAGGAGUUUUCCGCACUCAAGUGCCCGAUUCAUGUUUUUGAGAUCAACACUUUAGACAGAUCUGGAUUUUUGGAAAAA